rnacentral:rRNA from 1 species
CAGCACCUCAAGUGGUCAGGAUGAUUAUUGGGCCUAAAGCAUCCGUAGCCGGCGCUGUAAGUUUUCGGUUAAAUCUGUACGCUUAACGUACAGGCUGCCGGGAAUACUGCAGCGCUAGGGAGUGGGAGAGGUAGACGGUACUCGGUAGGAAGGGGUAAAAUCCUUUGAUCUAUUGAUGACCACCUGUGGCGAAGGCGGUCUACCAGAACACGUCCGACGGUGAGAGAUGAAAGCUGGGGGAGCAAUCCGGAUUAGAGACCCGAGUAGUCC